CGCUCAGGCAAUGGUCAAAAGACACUUUGUUGGUGGUGGUGUUCUUCCAUCAGUCAGGGGCAGAGCAGACGACAGUCCUCUGUUCAUCCUAGCUUGAUGCCUGGCUUGGUCACCAAAGCUGUCUUAUGCCUAGGACUCAUAA